AGGGUUUGAUUAUGGCUCAGGACGAACGCUGGCGGCGCGCCUAACACAUGCAAGUCGAACGGGGUCAUUUGGGAUGAAGGCUUCGGCCGGAAGACUGAAUGACCUAGUGGCGGACGGGUGAGUAACGCGUGAGUAACCUGCCUCUCAGAGGGGGAUAACGGAGGGAAACUUCCGCUAAUACCGCAUGACGUCAGACCGGGGCAUCCCGGAGUGACCAAAGGAGCAAUCCGCUGAGAGAUGGACUCGCGUCCAAUUAGGUAGUUGGUGAGGUAAUGGCUCACCAAGCCCGCGAUUGGUAGCCGGACUGAGAGGUUGAACGGCCACAUUGGGACUGAGACACGGCCCAG
rnacentral:rRNA from 1 species